CGCUGGCGGCGUGCUUAACACAUGCAAGUCGAACGGUAAGGCCCUUUCGGGGGGUACACGAGUGGCGAACGGGUGAGUAACACGUGGGUAAUCUGCCCUGCACUCUGGGAUAAGCCUGGGAAACUGGGUCUAAUACCGGAUAUGAGCUUGAAUCGCAUGGUUCGGGUUGGAAAGUUUUUUCGGUGCAGGAUGUGCCCGCGGCCUAUCAGCUUGUUGGUGGGGUAAUGGCCUACCAAGGCGACGACGGGUAGCCGGCCUGAGAGGGUGAUCGGCCACACUGGGACUGAGACACGGCCCAGACUCCUACGGGAGGCAGCAGUGGGGAAUAUUGCACAAUGGGCGGAAGCCUGAUGCAGCGACGCCGCGUGGGGGAUGACGGUCUUCGGAUUGUAAACCCCUUUCAGUAGGGACGAAGCGCAAGUGACGGUACCUGCAGAAGAAGCACCGGCCAACUACGUG
rnacentral:rRNA from 1 species